rnacentral:rRNA from 1 species
AUUGAACGCUGGCGGCAGGCCUAACACAUGCAAGUCGAACGGUAACAGAAAGCAGCUUGCUGCUUUGCUGACGAGUGGCGGACGGGUGAGUAAUGUCUGGGAAACUGCCUGAUGGAGGGGGAUAACUACUGGAAACGGCAGCUAAUACCGCAUAACGUCGCAAGACCAAAGAGGGGGACCUUCGGGCCUCUUGCCAUCGGAUGUGCCCAGAUGGGAUUAGCUAGUAGGUGGGGUAACGGCUCACCUAGGCGACGAUCCCUAGCUGGUCUGAGAGGAUGACCAGCCACACUGGAACUGAGACACGGUCCAGACUCCUACGGGAGGCAGCAGUGGGGAAUAUUGCACAAUGGGCGCAAGCCUGAUGCAGCCAUGCCGCGUGUAUGAAGAAGGCCUUCGGGUUGUAAAGUACUUUCAGCGGGGAGGAAGGGAGUAAAGUUAAUACCUUUGCUCAUUGACGUUACCCGCAGAAGAAGCACCGGCUAACUCCGUG